GGGUUAGGUAAAUGUUCCAUGAUAAUGGAUUAGGUAAAUAUUCCAUGAUAAUGGGUUAGGUAAAUGUUUCAUGAUAAUGGGUUAGGUAAAUGUUUCAUGAUAAGAAUUUCAUGUCUUUUGUAUUAAAGAAUUAAAUGGAUGAAAUAUGAAGUUUUAUUAAAAGAAAAAUGGGGUGAAAAGAACAAAGUUUUGUCCAUCUUUGUUCAUCAUAGCUAAAAGUUAGAGAAGAGAAAGGAGAGGAGAAAGCUCUUGAGUAUUUGGUCAUUAGGAGGAGGAAAAUUGAAGGCGGUUCGUGUGUGGAUCUCGUCGACAUAUCGUGGCAAGCAGUGUGUAACUAACACCCUCUUUCUUAGUCUGGAUCGGCAAAAGUCGAAAAGUCGAAAUGCCGAAAACCGAUAUUUUGUAGAUUUGCGAGUGUGCGAAUGCUCGUGAGGAAAUCCCCAACCAUAGUGGGCUUGGAGCUGUGAGGGAAUUCGGAGUGGCCACCUGUUCUGAAAGUUUGAUUUUCUUCUGGUGAACUGGACAUCCUUUUAAUUACGUUUGAGGUUUUGGGCUUUUAAAUGUAAUAAGGCCGCUUAUUUAUUAUUGGUGGUUUUUAAUAUGUAUUACUAAGAUAGGUAAUACUUAUUUUAACUGUUGAAAUUGGAUAGCUUUAGGGCGCGUUUUCAAAAACAA